GAGUGGAUCGCAGGGUAUGUGGAGAUAGAGAGCAAGAGAGACCAGCUGGAAGGGUGUUGCAACAGUUCAGGUGAGAAACGACUUCAGGCCGAGCUCAGAAGGUAUUGGUGGAGAUAGCAAGGACUUGAUCCUUGAUGGGGGUAGGGAAGAGGAGGAAGAAUGAGGAAUGAUUGUGAAUACACAGAUGGCAAUGGCGGUUUUCUUAACUCAAAGAGAAAACACCUAAGGAGGAAACACAACCAUGGAAGUGAUGUUAGACAAGGGCAAAUUCAAGCGAUUUUCUUACUCAAGUUCAAAAUGGGUCAUAAAGCAGUGCAGACAACUUACAACAUCAAUAGCAAGUUUGGCCCAGAAACUGCUAACGGACAUACAGUACAGUAGUGGUUCAAGAAGUUUUGCAAAGGAGACAAGAGCCUUGAAGAUGAGGAGUGUAGUGGCUGGCCGUCAGAAGUUGACAAUGACCAAUUGAGAGGAAUCAUCCAAGCUGAUUAUUUUUCAACUACACAAGAAGUUGCUGAAGAACUCAACGUUGACCAUUCUAUGUCGUUCAGCAUUUGAAGCAAAUUAGAAAGGUGAAAAAGCUCGAUAAGUGCAUCCCUCAUGAGCUGAGCAGAAAAAAGAAUAGUUGUUUUUGAAGCGUCAUCUUCUCUUAUUCUAUGCAACAACAAACCAUUUCUUGAUCGGAUUGUGGCGUGCAAAGAAAAGUGGAUUUUAUAUGACAACUGGUGACAAUCAGCUCAGUGGUUGGGCCUAGGAGAAGCUCCAAAGCACUUCCCAAAGCCAAACUUGCACCAAAAAAAAUGUCAUGGUCACUGUUUGGUGGUCUGCUGCCAGUCUGAUACACUACAGCUUUCUGAAUCUCAGUGAAACCGUUACAUCUGAGAAGUAUGCUCAGCAAAUUCAUGAGAUGCACCAAAAACUGCAAUGCCUGCAGCCAGCAUUCGUCAACAAAAAGGGCCCAAUUUUUCUCCAUGACAAUGCCCAGCUGCUUGUCACACAACCAACACUUCAAAAGUUGAAUGAAUUGGGCUACAAAGUUUUGCCUCAUCUGCCAUAUUCACCUGACCUCUUGCCAACCGACUACCACUUCUUCAAGCAUCUUGACAACAUUUUGCAGGGAAAAUGCUUCCACAACCAGCAGGGUGAAGAAAAUGCUUUCCAAGAGUUUGUUGAACCCUGAAUCAUGGAUUUUAAUGCUACAGGAAAAAGUAAACUUAUUUCUCAUUGGCAAAAAUGUGUUGAUUGUCAAUGGUUCCUAUUUUGAUUAAUAAAGAUGUGUUUGAGCCUA
ensembl:lncRNA novel transcript, antisense to IVL